rnacentral:rRNA from 1 species
AGGAUAAACGCUGGCGGCGUGCAUGAGACAUGCAAGUCAAACGGACGAUCAGGGCUUGCUCUGAUCGUUAGUGGCGGACGGCUGAGUAACGCGUGGGUGACCUGCCCCGAAGUGGGGAAUAACUGCCCGAAAGGGUGGCUAAUACCGCAUGUGGUGGUGCGUUCAUUCGCACCAGUAAAGCCGCAAGGCGCUUCGGGAGGGGCCUGCGUCCGAUUAGCUCGUUGGUGGGGUAACGGCUCACCAAGGCGACGAUCGGUAGGUGGUCUGAGAGGACGAUCACCCAGACUGGGACUGAGACACGGCCCAGACUCCUACGGGAGGCAGCAGUCGGGAAUUUUGCUCAAUGGACGAAAGUCUGAAGCAGCAACGCCGCGUGAGGGAUGAAGGCCUUCGGGUUGUAACCUUCUUUUAUCAGGGACGAUAAUGACGGUACCUGAUGAAUAAGUCACGGCUAACUACGUCGCCAGCAGCCGCGGU